rnacentral:lncRNA from 1 species
UUAUCCAUAUGACCAACUAUAAAGGCCUUUAGAUUAAGCUUCAGAGCAAUCAACAAGGCAAAUGGUAAUGAAAAAUAAAAAAUUAUAUCCUACGCCACAUGCACUACAUAGUUAUACACUAUAUCGAUCAUCUUGUCUUCUUUUUAUGGACUCCACUCAUCAUGCACUCAUUUUGAUGAUUGAUCCAUGGGUAGGAGAUGAGCUGAUUGAAGUAGUGC